AGAGUUUGAUCAUGGCUCAGAAUGAACGCUGGCGGCGUGCUUAACACAUGCAAGUCGUGCGCGAAGGUGGCUACGGCCACCGGAGAGCGGCGAACGGGUGAGUAACACGUGGGUAAUCUACCUGGGAGCGGGGGAUAACCUGGGGAAACUCGGGCUAAUACCGCAUACGUUUGCGAGAUCACGGUCUCGUCAAGAAAGCUGGCCUCUGCUUGCAAGCUAGCACUCCCAGAGGAGCCCGCGGCUGAUUAGCUAGUUGGUGAGGUAAUGGCUCACCAAGGCGACGAUCAGUAGCCGGCCUGAGAGGGUGAUCGGCCACACUGGGACUGAGACACGGCCCAGACUCCUACGGGAGGCAGCAGUGGGGAAUAUUGGACAAUGGGCGCAAGCCUGAUCCAGCAACGCCGCGUGGAGGACGAAGGUCUUCGGAUCGUAAAUUCCUGUCAGACGGGACGAAGGGCCGGCGGGAAAUACUCGCCGGCUUUGACGGUACCGUCAGAGGAAGCCCCGGCUAACUCCGUGCCAGCAGCCGCGGUAAUACGGAGGGGGCGAGCGUUAUUCGGAAUUAUUGGGCGUAAAGGGCGCGUAGGCGGCUUGAUAAGUCAAAGGUGAAAUCCCUCGGCUCAACUGAGGAAUUGCCUUUGAAACUGUCUGGCUCGAGGCCGGGAGGGGAGCGGAAUUCCCAGUGUAGCGGUGAAAUGCGUAGAUAUUGGGAGGAACACCGGUGGCGAAGGCGGCUACCUGGACCGGUUCUGACGCUGAUGCGCGAAAGCGUGGGGAGCAAACAGGAUUAGAUACCCUAGUAGUCC
rnacentral:rRNA from 1 species